GUGAGGAAUAUUGGUCAAUGGGCGGGAGCCUGAACCAGCCAAGUCGCGUGAAGGAAGAAGGAUCUAUGGUUCGUAAACUUCUUUUGCAGGGGAAUAAAGUGCAGGACGUGUCCUGUUUUGUAUGUACCCUGAGAAUAAGGAUCGGCUAACUCCGUGCCAGCAGCCGCGGUAAUACGGAGGAUCCGAGCGUUAUCCGGAUUUAUUGGGUUUAAAGGGUGCGUAGGUGGUUUGAUAAGUCAGCGGUGACAGUUUGCAGCUUAACUGUAAAAAUGCCGUUGAAACUGUCGGACUUGAGUGUAGAUGAGGUAGGCGGAAUGCGUGGUGUAGCGGUGAAAUGCAUAGAUAUCACGCAGAACUCCGAUUGCGAAGGCAGCUUACUAAGCUACAACUGACACUGAAGCACGAAAGCGUGGGGAUCAAACAGGAUUAGAUACACCAGUAGUCC
rnacentral:rRNA from 1 species